GACCUAGUCUAUGAUGCUACAAGUACUUUUGAUUAAUUUCAUCUUUAGAUCUUUUUUGACUUACGGCACUCACUAUUUGCUCGUUUAAGUUCACAUUCACAUCAAUAUGCAAGUGAUAAAGAUUCAAUUAAAAGACCACAUGCAAUCAAUUUAUUUCAUAAAUAAUUAAAAUAAAAAUCUUUAUUGAAACUAAUUUCAAAAUCUUCCUGUACUAGCACAGAAAUGAAAAUCAAAUUCCAACUAGCUACGAAAAUAUAAUAACAGUUCUUUAAAUCUAAUCUAAAUCCUGACGGUAAUCGAAGAAAAAAAGUACCAACGACCUCUGCAGCAAUUUUUGCUCCAUUGCUGAUCCGAAGGAUCAUGUCACCUUUCCUCAACUUUCUACUUUCUAUCAGACCCUACAUUGAGGUACAUAUAUGAGCAUUCGAGCCAGAGUCUAAUACCCAGCUAAAAGUAGAAGAAAUCAUAAGGUUAGAUUCAAUUACGAGCAUAUCUUCAGAAGGUUUAUCACCUUUUUUGAUCUUUAGGCUCUCCAGAUAUGUUGGACAGUUCUUCCUCCAGUGGCCUUCAGCAUGAUAGUGGAAACAUUUUCUCCUUGCUUUAGCCUUCUUAGAAACUUCCUUCUUUGGCCUGUUCUCCUUCUUCUGCUUCUUAGUGGAUUUAACAUUCUUCCCAAUAGACUUUUUCUUGGAAGAAGACUACUCC
rnacentral:lncRNA from 1 species